GGCUAUGUAGCUCAGUGGCAGAGCACUCACCCGGCAAGCGAGAUACAUUGGGUUCGAUUCCCAGUCUAGUCU
rnacentral:tRNA from 1 species